GCCUUCGUGGUGUAACGGUAGCACACUCGGCGCGUAUUCUAGAGGUCCGGGUUCGAGUCCCAGUGAGUGCA
rnacentral:tRNA from 1 species